rnacentral:rRNA from 1 species
AUGCUUGUUAAAACAGGGUGAGAUCUUCGGUAUGGUAUUGUUUACAAACUUCUGAAAUUGGUGCUAGUCCUUCCUGUUGCAAUAGCCGAUGUUGAGAGAGACUUUUCAUCAAUGAACUAUAUAAAAAACAAGCUAAGAAGCAAGACGGAGCAAAAAUACUUGAAUGAUUGCUUGGUCACAUUUGUCGAAAGGGAUUUCUUCUUGCAAGUUAAGGAUGAGGACAUCAUCACUCAUUUCCAGAGCAUCAAGGAUCGCAAAGUUAUCCUGUAA